UAUCUUCCACCUUCACUAAUAUUUUUGUAGUUGCCCUUGCCUAAUACUUUCAAGUAUAAUAGCUUGAAGCUUCUAUUUCCUUAUUACUAUAAUCCUCAAAAUACAUUCAUUGUAAAGCUAUCUCAUGAGUCUUGUUUCUUCAAGUUUUCAUCUUCAAAGAAUUUUCUUCUCUUGUAUUAUCAAAUUUUCUUCAUUUCUUUUCUUCCAUUAAGGCUUCAUGUUGGCUCUUAGUAAUAGAUAUAUAUAAAUUGAAAGCACC
rnacentral:lncRNA from 1 species